CCUACGGGUGGCAGCAGUGGGGGAUAUUGGACAAUGGGGGAAACCCUGAUCCAGCGACGCCGCGUGAGUGAAGAAGUAUUUCGGUAUGUAAAGCUCUUUUAGCAGGGACGAAAGAAAUGACGGUACCUGAGUAAGAAGCCCCGGCUAACUACGUGCCAGCAGCCGCGGUAAUACGUAGGGGGCAAGCGUUAUCCGGAUUUACUGGGUGUAAAGGGAGCGUAGACGGUAAUGCAAGUCUGGAGUGAAAGGCGAGGGCCCAACCCCCGGCCUGCCGUGGAAACUGUGUAACUGGAGUGCAGGAGAGGCAAGCGGAAGUCGUGGUGUAGCGGUGAAAGGCGUAGAUAUUAGGAGGAACACCAGUGGCGAAGGCGGCAUGCUGGACAGUAACUGACGUUGAGGCGCGAAAGCGUGGGUAGCAAACAGGAUUAGAUACCCGAGUAGUC
rnacentral:rRNA from 1 species